rnacentral:rRNA from 1 species
GCGGGGUAGGUAGUCCCACCCCUGUGUAUUCUUACCUGUGUUGCUUUGGCAGGCCGCUGGGUUGCGGCCUGGCCACCGGCCUUUGGGCUGGUGCGUGCCUGCCAGAGACCCUUCAAACUCUGGUUUAUCUAGUGUUGUCUGAGUAUCAUGCAAAUCGUUAAAACUUUCAACAACGGAUCUCUUGGUUCUGGCAUCGAUGAAGAACGCAGCGAAAUGCGAUAAGUAAUGUGAAUUGCAGAAUUCAGUGAAUCAUCGAAUCUUUGAACGCACAUUGCGCCCUUUGGUAUUCCGAGGGGCAUGCCUGUUCGAGCGUCAUUUCAACCCUCAAGCUCUGCUUGGUAUUGGGCUUCGCCGUCGUGCGGCGGGCCUUAAAAUCAGUGGCGGUGCCGUCUCGGCUCCAAGCGCAGUAGCAUCAUCUCGCUCUGGAGACCCUGGUGGUUGCUGGCCAGCUAAACCCCCCUUUUUUUUCUCAUGGUUGACCUCGGAUCAGGUAGGGAUACCCGCUGAACUUAA